rnacentral:rRNA from 1 species
CCUACGGGAGGCAGCAGUGAGGAAUAUUGGUCAAUGGCCGAGAGGCUGAACCAGCCAAGUCGCGUGAGGGAAGACGGUACUACGGGUCGUAAACCUCUUUUGUCGGGGAGCAAAGAGAGUCACGUGUGACCCAUUGAGAGUACCCGAAGAAAAAGCAUCGGCUAACUCCGUGCCAGCAGCCGCGGUAAUACGGAGGAUGCGAGCGUUAUCCGGAUUUAUUGGGUUUAAAGGGUGCGUAGGCGGUUCGAUAAGUUAGAGGUGAAAUCCCGGGGCUCAACCCCGGCCCGGCCUCUGAUACUGGCGGGCUAGAGUUUAGUUGCGGUAGGCGGAAUGUGUGGUGUAGCGGUGAAAUGCAUAGAGAUCGUGCAGAACACCGAUUGCGAAGGCAGCAUACC